rnacentral:tRNA from 1 species
AGUUUAAAUAAAAUAUUGAUUUGUGGAGUCAAGGAUGUGUUAUUACUUUAAAUU